AGCAGCCGCGGUAAUUCCAGCUCCAAUAGCGUAUAUUAAAGUUGUUGCAGUUAAAAAGCUCGUAGUUGAGUUUCGGGAUUGGCGCAUCGGUCGUGCCUUACGGGGUAUGAACUGGUGCAGUCAAUUUCUCACCUUCUGGAGAACCGCGAUGUCCUUAAUUGGGUGCCGCGGGGAACCAGGACCUUUACUUUGAAAAAAUUAGAGUGUUUAAAGCAGGCAUUUUUGCUUGAAUACAUUAGCAUGGAAUAAUAAAAUAGGACGGCAUGGUUCUAUUUUGUUGGUUUCUAGGACCACCGUAAUGAUUAAUAGGGAUAGUUGGGGGCAUUAGUAUUCAAUUGUCAGAGGUGAAAUUCUUGGAUUUAUUGAAGACUAACUACUGCGAAAGCAUUUGCCAAAGAUGUUUUCAUUAAUCAAGAACGAAAGUUAGGGGAUCGAAGACGAUCAGAUACC
rnacentral:rRNA from 1 species